rnacentral:lncRNA from 1 species
UUUUAGGGUUUUGUUUCUUGUAUUGUGUAAUGCUAUUUUAUCUGUGGUGCCGAGGGUUGAAGCAUGGGAAGUGUGAGGAAUGAGCAAGUAUUCCAACACCAAGUGUGUUAUAGUGUCUGUGGUUCUUGGUUUUUAUCUGCAAGGGCCAAAUGAGGCAAUUACAACAGAAUGGCAUAGUCAAGAAAGCUCGAAGUGGGCAGUAAUUGAGCUGUCACAUCUCUGUAGCCUUUCUUCAGAGACCAAUUAACUAGUUUGGGGGACACACCUAUGCUUAAGGAUGGUCAGUGAUUUCAGAUGCCUCCUUCUCCCUCCAUUUCCAAAGCUUUCUCCCUCUGUAGUCUCUUCAUGUCAGGCGUGUCUCCUGAGUUUUUCCUAGAGUACUGAGCACAGUGUUUCAAUGGGAAAUCUGUGGGCAUUCGGGGAAACCACAGAAUGCAAAAACAAUCAUAAUUAAUUAAUUAAUUAAUUAUAAUAAUAAACUACUUUCCAGUGUUUCUCAAUACUUAAUUCCAUUUUAAUUCACUUGGACUCAUUAAAAUACCUUGGUCCACUAUGGCCCAAAUUGUCAGGUCUUGCAUCUGUUUCUAAUUUGGUCACUGACUCUGACCUCAAGCAGAACCCUCCACACAGAGAGAUGCUGAUGGCCUGAGGAGGAAUAAUUUAGGGGCCAUGCAAACAUCAUGCGUCCAUUUCCUGAUUGUCAUGCCAGCUUUAACCUUUAAGAACCCACUUAUCUUGGUAAGGAUUCAGCCCUUAGUUGUGGGGGUCCCUCUCCAGCUGUUUUUCCUCCACUCAUUUGAGUAGCAGGAGACCCUUCCAGAGCAUGUAGAAAGCAGGAAAUGGUUGAUAGAGGGUAAGUCUGUAGUUGUAUAUGCUUGUGAAAGCAGCAGUUGUAGCAGGCAGAUCAUUACCUACAGGGACACAGGGUGCUCUCCAUGAUCUCGGUGGCGUUCUUGAGGGAAAAUAUUGUGUAGCUAACAAAGGGAGGAAAAUUCUAUUAAAAACACAGCUUAUCUCAAAUCCACAAUUCUUUUGAAAAACCUCAGCCUUAUUGUAGAUGAUUGUAUUCUGUGAUUUCUCUUGACAGAUGAGUGGAUUUUUAUAUGGUUUAAGUCUUAGAAAAUGCGUUUUCUAUAUGUUUCUUUUCACAGUGACUAGAUGGUUUAAGUUAAUUGAAUAAGCCAAGAAAAACAACACCAACAUGUGGUUGGGAUUUUAGCUUUAAGUUCUUUAUUCUGUCUUUUAGCUCUCAUUUUCAGAAGUCACUAUUACAUCAGAAGAGACAUUAACAGUAAAUAGUAUUAUAAUGUCUAGUUUCCUGUUUUGAAGCAAAUAUGUGGUCCUCCCAACUAGGUUCGGUUGUGUCUUUUUUAUAGCAUGUUUAACUCUGAGAAAUCAUUCUCUCUGGCUCACUGGUCGAUGAUCCCUUAUAGUCCUUGCCAUUGGCUGACAUUUUUAUUCUACAGAUGGUACUAAUUAAAUAAGUGCUUCCCAAGGUACUUGUCCACUAUUCUUUUUCUGAGGUCAAAAUCUUCCUUUACCUUGGUUUUUCUCAGACUCUCUUGUCCCUGUUACCCUUAUGCCUGCCCUGCCACAUUUUUGCAUAAAGUUUGACUAAUCACUACUAGCAGUUCUAGUAGUCAACUACUGACCCUGGGACAAGGCCCUGGCUGAUUGAGAGAAUGGCAUCUAUUUUCACUCGCAGUAUUGGAGGAUUUGCUGUCACACACAAGGGAUUUUUUUGCCUCCAUGAU